rnacentral:rRNA from 1 species
CAAGCGGUGGAGCACGUGGUUUAAUUCGAUGCAACGCGAAGAACCUUACCUACUCUUGACAUCCAGCGAACUUAGCAGAGAUGCUUUGGUGCCUUCGGGAACGCUGAGACAGGUGCUGCAUGGCUGUCGUCAGCUCGUGUUGUGAAAUGUUGGGUUAAGUCCCGCAACGAGCGCAACCCUUAUCCUUUGUUGCCAGCGAUACGGUCGGGGACUCAAAGGAGACUGCCGGUGAUAAACCGGAGGAAGGUGGGGAUGACGUCAAGUCAUCAUGGCCCUUACGAGUAGGGCUACACACGUGCUACAAUGGCGCAUACAAAGAGAAGCGACCUCGCGAGAGCAAGCGGACCUCAGAAAGUGCGUCGUAGUCCGGAUCGGAGUCUGCAACUCGACUCCGUGAAGUCGGAAUCGCUAGUAAUCGUGGAUCAGAAUGCCACGGUGAAUACGUUCCCGGGCCUUGUACACACC